rnacentral:rRNA from 1 species
GGGGGGCCCCCCGGGCGGGGCGGGGGCACGGGGGGAACGCGAAGAACCUUACCAGGUCUUGACAUACUAUGCAAAUCUAAGAGAUUAGACGUUCCCUUCGGGGACAUGGAUACAGGUGGUGCAUGGUUGUCGUCAGCUCGUGUCGUGAGAUGUUGGGUUAAGUCCCGCAACGAGCGCAACCCUUAUUAUCAGUUGCCAGCAUUAAGUUGGGCACUCUGGUGAGACUGCCGGUGACAAACCGGAGGAAGGUGGGGAUGACGUCAAAUCAUCAUGCCCCUUAUGACCUGGGCUACACACGUGCUACAAUGGAUGGUACAACGAGUUGCGAACUCGCGAGAGUAAGCUAAUCUCUUAAAGCCAUUCUCAGUUCGGAUUGUAGGCUGCAACUCGCCUACAUGAAGUCGGAAUCGCUAGUAAUCGCGGAUCAGCA